GCAUAUCAAUAAGCGGAGGAAAAGAAACCAACAGGGAUUGCCUCAGUAACGGCGAGUGAAGCGGCAAAAGCUCAAAUUUGAAAUCCCCCGGGAAUUGUAAUUUGAAGAGAUUUGGGUCCGGCCGGCGGGGGUUAAGUCCACUGGAAAGUGGCGCCACAGAGGGUGACAGCCCCGUGAACCCCCUCAACGCCUUCAUCCCAGGUCUCCAAGAGUCGAGUUGUUUGGGAAUGCAGCUCUAAGUGGGUGGUAAAUUCCAUCUAAAGCUAAAUACCGGCGAGAGACCGAUAGCGAACAAGUACAGUGAUGGAAAGAUGAAAAGCACUUUGAAAAGAGAGUGAAAAAGUACGUGAAAUUGUUGAAAGGGAAGGGCUUGCAAGCAGACACUUAACUGGGCCAGCAUCGGGGCGGCGGGGAGCAAAACCACUGGGGAAUGUACCUUUCGAGGAUUAUAACCCCGGUCCUUACUCCCUCACCAUCCCGAGGCCUGCAAUCUAAGGAUGCUGGCGUAAUGGUUGCAAGUCGCCCGUCUUGAAACACGGACCAAGGAGUCUAACAAUCAUGCAAGUGUUUGGGCCCAAAACCCAUACGCGCAAUGAAAGUAACCGGAGCGAACCUUUUGGUGCAGCUCCAGCCACACCGAGACCCAAAUCCCGGUGUG
rnacentral:rRNA from 1 species